GCCCGUCUGAUAUGAGCUACAUGACGUUUGAUUUCAUCAGUCACCCCAUCGAAUCACAACUCGACGACAUUCAGCAAUUCAUUAUAGAAGAGGGCGAAAUAAUCAAGAGCGACACUGGUGAAUUGACUGUCUACAAAUUGGGUGGCCGUUAUUCCAAUGUGUUUGUUUAUGAGAACAAUUGUAGAUUCAACUUUAUUAGUGUGGAGUGGGUCUUAAAAUCGGCCAAAUGAACUAUAGCACAAAUUACAGAGGAAGCCUGUCGAAUUCUUUGCACAAUAAUUAUUUAACUGCAACAAAUGGAUUGAUUGAUUCGAGUUUUGAAAUUCCACCGCAAUCUCGUGUUAUACUAGAAGUAGUCUCGUGCGAAUGGGAAUAUUUCAGUGCCAAUUUCAAUAUUGAGGUGAGCUUCUUUACAAAUCUGGGAGCGCAAUACAAAGACUGUAAGAGCAGUGUGAGGGAACCCGAACAACAAAAGAUUUUAUAUUUAUUAUGGGGCUUUGAUAUGUUAUGAUAUUCGUUGGGUAGAGGAAGGCAACUGGUGAUCACACUAACAAAUAAGCUUCUUCAUAUCAUAUGUAAACGUAUCAUUAGGGUCCCGUAACUGCAAUGGUACCGAAAGGGUAUCAUAAGAAGACAGCGAAAGGCACUAUGAGAUCGUUAUAAGGCCCGUUAGAGUAGUGUAUCAAAACCAGAAUUCAAACCUAACUUUUUUCAGUUCAAAGUUCUUCCCUUUAUGUGGACUGUUUGUUACUGGUUCGCGCCACUUGUGGAAUAUUUUGUUCCUGAAUCUUCGUUCAACUACUCGUUUCAAACUCCAGUCGUGAUCAAAAAGCGACAGGAUCACAGAUGGACAAUUGAGGAAAAGACCAAGAAGGAUUGAACUUUAUUUACA
rnacentral:sRNA from 1 species